UACGAAGGUGGCAAGCGUUGUUCGGAUUUACUGGGCGUAAAGGGCGCGUAGGCGGCCAACUAAGUCACACGUGAAAUCCCCAGGCUUAACCUGGGAACUGCGUGUGAUACUGGAUGGCUUGAAUUCGGGAGAGGGAUGCGGAAUUCCAGGUGUAGCGGUGAAAUGCGUAGAUAUCUGGAGGAACACCGGUGGCGAAGGCGGCAUCCUGGACCGACAUUGACGCUGAGGAGCGAAAGCUAGGGGAGCAAACGGG
rnacentral:rRNA from 1 species